ACAGCCGCAUCUCUCUUUCUCCCUCUUCCUCUCUUUCUUUCUCUGUCAAAUAGCAAAAGUUGCUGCCCGUCACCGUAUUUAGUGAGACGCCGGAGCAGUCGCGUCCCUUCGCCGGCCUCCUAUCUCCGCUCUCGCGUCUCCAGCGGUGGCAAUACCCAUCAGCCACUGCUCCAGCGUCGACUCCAUCUCUGUCGCUCAACCGGCGAAAUCAACAGCCAACUCCACCGUUGGCCACCAAAUCCGAACCAGCCGCCACAACAGCCAAAUUCGGCCGCCGUACCAUCAUUUUGGCCAGCGAAAUCAGUCUUACCGGUGGAAGCCAACCAUGGACGAUGAAUCUCCAACCAACACCGCCAUUGCUCCACCCAUUUCCAAUUAAAAAAUCAGUCCAUUACCAUCGUCACUCCGUUAAAUGUCAACGGAAGAAUCUUAAGUACAUGACGAAUUCACAUGUGAAUUCGUUUUAGGUUUGAUUUCUUUUUUCAAGUUUCGCCAAAAACCCUUUAUGUUGAUUAUUUUUGUUUUGAUUAUUUUUGUUUUACUGAUUCUGUGAUUUGAAAUUAGUGAAAUUUGAUUUUUUUAAUUUUGAUUUGACUCUUUGAUUUCCUGCUUAUUUUUAGUCUUUAAUUGACAUAUGCUAAGUCCAUUAUCGUUUGUUUGGCAAUACUAUUGUUGAAUCAUGAUCUUAGUAAUAUAAUAGUUUAAGUGUAGGUACUUGAAAACUAAAAUUUAGGAAGAGUUUGCCUGAUGAAUGUGAAUCUAGCUACAUUUUUUCGCAUUUAAACUAUCAUCUCUACCAUUUUAGGGACCUAGCUGUUAGUAUAGCUACCAGUCAUCUUCAAUAAUUUCCUUACAUCUAACUAAACUGCUGCAUUGCCUUCGACAACUCAUAGUUAAGAGUUAUUGAUGAAAAGGUGAAUACGAGAUUUUAAUCACGUACUGGCCGAUUAGUGCUGUAUCCAUUAAUUAAUCUUUUACACAGUUGAAUUUUGCUUAGCAAUUAUUUUAAAGCUGUUUGAAUCUAAAGAGUGUUGUCGGGUGUAUGAGCUAGGCUGUUCUGUUCUGAUUGUUCUAGGAGACAUCCUUAUCACAUGAAAAGCUAUGAAAUGUGAGUCAUUAGUCCUGUAUCUUCUUUUUACAUGUUAAUAUUCCUUUAACUGGAACUUGGAAGGAUAGUACUCUCCUUCUAGCAUGAUAUUGCAUAAACAAUAUCUUGAUUUGGUCAGUUCUAUACUUCUAUUAGUUGACAACAUAGGAUUUUCCAAUUUUGCUUAAGAGUGCCCUUUCCUUUGAAAUGUGGACUUGUGUUUUGAAUUUAGUUAAGUGUGGUCACUUGAGAAGUGAAUAA
rnacentral:lncRNA from 1 species